rnacentral:rRNA from 1 species
CACGUAGUUAGCCGACCCUUAUUCAUGAGUUACCGUCAUAUUCUUCACUCAUAAAAGCAGUUUACGACCCGAAGGCCUUCAUCCUGCACGCGGAGUUGCUCCAUCAGGGUUGCCCCCAUUGUGGAAGAUUCCUUACUGCUGCCUCCCGUAGGAGUCUGGACCGUGUCUCAGUUCCAGUCUGACUGAUCAUCCUCUCAGACCAGUUACCGAUCGUCGACUUGGUGAGCCUUUACCUCACCAACUAUCUAAUCGGACGCGGGCCGCUCCCAAAGCGCUCGAAAGCUUUAAUCCGAAGAUCGUAUGCGGUAUUAGACUCCAUUUCUGGAGCUUAUCCCUCACUUUGGGGCACGUUCCCACGCGUUACUCAGCCGUCCGCCGCUCGCCGCCAAGUAGUAAACUACUCGCGCUGCCGCUCGACUUGCAUGUAUUAGGCACUCCGCCAGCGUUCAUCCUGAGCCAGGAUCAAACUC